rnacentral:tRNA from 1 species
CGGGGCGUGGCGCAGCCUGGUAGCGCACUGGUCUCGGGGUCCAGGGGUCGUAGGUUCGAAUCCUAUCGCCCCGACCA